AGCGAACGCUGGCGGCAGGCCUAACACAUGCAAGUCGAGCGGCCCUUCGGGGCAGCGGCGGACGGGCGAGUAACGCGUGGGAACGUGCCCUUUGGUACGGAACAACUGAGGGAAACUUCAGCUAAUACCGUAUGUGCCCCACGGGGGAAAGAUUUAUCGCCAUUGGAGCGGCCCGCGUUAGAUUAGCUAGUUGGUAGGGUAAUGGCCUACCAAGGCGACGAUCUAUAGCUGGUCUGAGAGGAUGAUCAGCCACACUGGGACUGAGACACGGCCUAGACUCCUACGGGAGGCAGCAGUGGGGAAUCUUGCGCAAUGGGCGAAAGCCUGACGCAGCCAUGCCGCGUGAAUGAUGAAGGUCUUAGGAUUGUAAAAUUCUUUCACCGGGGACGAUAAUGACGGUACCCGGAGAAGAAGCCCCGGCUAACUUCGUGCCAGCCGCCGCUGUAACAC
rnacentral:rRNA from 1 species